AGAGUUUGAUCCUGGCUCAGGAUGAACGCUGGCGGUCUGCUUAACACAUGCAAGUCGAACGGAGUAGAAAUACUUAGUGGCGGACGGGUGAGUAACGCGUGAGAAUCUGCCUUCAGGACGGAGACAACAGUUGGAAACGACUGCUAAGCCCCGAUGAACCGAAAGGGAAAAUAUUUAUAGCCUGAAGAUGAGCUCGCGUCCGAUUAGCUAGUUGGCGGAGUAAAAGCCCACCAAGGCGACGAUCGGUAGCUGGUCUGAGAGGACGAUCAGCCACACUGGGACUGAGACACGGCCCAGACUCCUACGGGAGGCAGCAGUGGGGAAUAUUGGACAAUGGGCGCAAGCCUGAUCCAGCCAUGCCGCGUGAGUGAUGAAGGCCCUAGGGUUGUAAAGCUCUUUCGCACGCGACGAUAAUGACGGUAGCGUGAGAAGAAGCCCCGGCUAACUUCGUGCCAGCAGCCGCGGUAAUACGAAGGGGGCUAGCGUUGUUCGGAAUCACUGGGCGUAAAGGGCGCGUAGGCGGCCGUUCAAGUCGGGGGUGAAAGCCUGUGGCUCAACCACAGAAUUGCCUUCGAUACUGUACGGCUCGAGACCGGAAGAGGUAAGUGGAACUGCGAGUGUAGAGGUGAAAUUCGUAGAUAUUCGCAAGAACACCAGUGGCGAAGGCGGCUUACUGGUCCGGUUCUGCGCUGAGGCGCGAAAGCGUGGGGAGCAAACAGGAUUAGAUACCCUAGUAGUCC
rnacentral:rRNA from 1 species